GGCUAAUGUGGUGUAGUGGUUUGAGCGUUGGACUAGGACACUAGGGGACCAGGGUUCAAAUCCCAGGUUGGCCA